AAAGAAUUCUGCUUUUAAUUUUUUUGCAGUCACUUACAAAUGUAAAACCCAUUCUUAGCUUAAGAGUCAUGGGCUAUAUUGGCUCACUUUUGCUGACCCUAAUCUAGAUGGUGGUUUAUUCGCUCAUACAUGACACACAAUGACCACCAUUAGCAGCUCACACCCCUUCCCAGAUAAAGCUCCCCAGAAUCUAAACACAGGAAGAAACCUGUAAGGAAGCAGAGAGGACUCCUGUCUGGAAGAGAAGGGGCAGGAAACAGAAUCACAGCCAAAAGGGCUCCACACGUGGCCUUGGGGCAGAGCUGGCACUGUGACUGGCAUCUGUAGCAUGGAAGAGAACACACGGUACAGAAGUCAGGCUCGUCAGCACAUGCCUAUAAUCCCAGCACUCAGGAG
rnacentral:lncRNA from 1 species